ensembl:lncRNA
AUAAUUGGCUCUAGCUUGAGCUCUGCAGCCAACUCCUAAAGCAUAGAUGGAGCUCUGUGAGGGCUUCAUCGCUCCAGGGCCCCCAGCCCUUUAGGGCAGAAUAUCCAGGGUCUGUCCUCAGAGGGCAGGGUUUCUUUGUGAGUCGCCACCCUCAGCCACUUUCCCGGGCUAUUCUGAGCUCCACCAGCUUCUGCUCUGUUUCUUCCAGCCACCCCUCCUCGUGCAAGGACAUAAAUGGAAUGUUUGGGGCAGGCUAGCUCAGGCCACUAAGAGGACCCAAGAGAAUACAAUGUGAUUUGGUAUUCUUGUUGAAUUCUGCCUUUGAAAAUCAGUUUCAUUUAUCACAAAUUCUCAGUGGUUCUCUCACCCUCAGCAGUAACCUCCCUUUCUGAGAUUUCAAGUUUUCACUAAUGUGCCUAAGUGAUGAAGAACCAAUAUGUGGAAUGUGCAAGCUCUUUGGGGACCACAAGACUCACCCAGUAGCCAAGAUUUCUGAUGCCUAUGCAGAGAGGAAAGUGAACUUUGCUAAGGAUAUUCAGCUGGUGCUGCAGAAAUCUGAGAGCGCGGCACAGGCAGUACAGGACAUGGAGAAGCUCAUCAGGGAACUCUCUACCAGCGCCACUGACACACUGGCCAUGAUCGACGCCAUCGGAGACAGCCUGCUCAGUGGCAUCAAAUGUCGUAUUGCCACCUUGAAAAAGCAACUGCAGAGUGAGCACUGCUCCAAGCUGGAGAAGUUACAGCUGGUUGCCCGGGAACUUGAAGCCCCCCGAGAGCUUUACCAGCAGAUGAAGAUGCUCCUGCAGCAUCAUGCUAACACAGUGCAAUUUCUCCACGAGCAUAAAAGGCUCAAGGGGGAGAUGAAGAGACUCGUGGAGGGCAGCGUGUCCCCCGCAGUCCCCACCAAGGACACUAUUUCCAUCAGGCGCUAUUUUCAAGAGCUCAUUAGAGGAAUAGACAUCACUGCCUUUGCCCCGCCUGAGACUGACCAAGUGCCGGCCAGCAUGGCUGGGCUCCAAGAGGCCUGGCAGGCAGGCUGUGCCAUGCAGGGCCGUCUGUCGCAACAAGUGCUUGAGGAUAUUUUGUGCAAGGCAGUGUCGGGCUCAGGGCCAAAACCAAAUCAAGAGGCAAAGCUUCCUAGGAACCCAUCUUAUGCUUACUCAGUACAAGGAAGUGAGAUUGGUUCUAGAGAAUCAACCGUGUAAGGUAUUAUUUUGGUCUCAAGAUGUCAACAACUUUUAUCAUUUUGUCUGUAACUUGAAAGUUGCUGGACUUUGCUUCUUAAAAAGAAAAUUAAAAAAUUCUACAUUGUGGUUUCUCUUUUGAUUUUGGUCUUGUGUUGAUC